CACGUGCGAAACUCAGACAGGUUGGUUGAUGAACAAAUAAGCAUUGCGAUAGCAACCAGAGAAACACUGGACAAGCAGAAAAGGACGUUCCACAAAGUCACC